rnacentral:rRNA from 1 species
UACGUAGGGUGCAAGCGUUGUCCGGAAUCAUUGGGCGUAAAGCGCGUGUAGGCGGCUUGUUAAGUCCGCUCUGAAAGCCCGGGGCUCAACCCCGGGAGGCGGGUGGAUACUGGCAAGCUCGAGUCCGGAAGAGGCGAGUGGAAUUCCUGGUGUAGCGGUGAAAUGCGCAGAUAUCGGGAGGAACACCAAUGGCGAAGGCAGCUCGCUGGGACGUGACUGACGCUGAGACGCGAAAGCGUGGGGAGCAAACAGG